rnacentral:rRNA from 1 species
AUUGAACGCUGGCGGCAGGCCUAACACAUGCAAGUCGAACGGUAACAGGAAACAGCUUGCUGUUUCGCUGACGAGUGGCGGACGGGUGAGUAAUGUCUGGGAAACUGCCUGAUGGAGGGGGAUAACUACUGGAAACGGUAGCUAAUACCGCAUAACGUCGCAAGACCAAAGAGGGGGACCUUCGGGCCUCUUGCCAUCGGAUGUGCCAAGAUGGGAUUAGCUAGUAGGUGGGGUAACGGCUCACCUAGGCGACGAUCCCUAGCUGGUCUGACAGGAUGACCAGCCACACUGGAACUGAGACACGGUCCAGACUCCUACGGGAGGCAGCAGUGGGGAAUAUUGCACAAUGGGCGCAAGCCUGAUGCAGCCAUGCCGCGUGUAUGAAGAAGGCCUUCGGGUUGUAAAGUACUUUCAGCGGGGAGGAAGGGAGUAAAGUCAAUACCUUUGCUCAUUGACGUUACCCGCAGAAGAAGCACCGGCUAACUCCGUGCCAGCCGCCGCUGUAA